GGGGAAAGAAGACCUGUUGAGCUUGACUCUAGUCUGGCAGUGUAAGGAGACAUAAGAGGUGUAGCAUAAGUGGGAGAUAUUAUUACUUCGGUUUUUUUAUCAAAAAUGAAAUACCACUACUCUUAUUGUUUCCUUACUUACUUGAUAAAAUGGAACGUGUAUCAUUUACUUAGCCAUACACGGAUAUAUUUAUAUAUUUUAUGGUAUUUUGUUUUGAUGCGAGCUUCUCGCUUAAAGUGCCAAGGGUUUGUUAUAUACGCCAAACAGGUUACAACGAAAUUAAAAAAUAUCAUUUCAAAAUUGGUCUGAUUAAUAUGAUUUGAAUUUGGUAUAACUUUUAUACUCAGGCAUGAUCCAAUUCAAGGACAUUGCCACGUGGGGAGUUUGACUGGGGCGGUACAUCUCUCAAAUAAUAACGGAGGUGUCCCAAGGCCAGCUCAGUGCGGACAGAAACCACACAUAGAGCAAAAGGGCAAAUGCUGACUUGAUCUCGGUGUUCAGUACAUACAGAGACAGCAAAAGCUCGGCCUAUCGAUCCUUUUGGUUUAAAGAGUUUUUAACAAGAGGUGUCAGAAAAGUUACCACAGGGAUAACUGGCUUGUGG
rnacentral:rRNA from 1 species